CCCCAACCCCCUCGUUCCUUGAACAUGAAAGAUUUGACUCAAUUAAAAAGAGUCUAAGUCCCUCAGUCAAGGAAGAUAUAAAACGAAAAGGUCCAUUUCUAACAGGAAAAAAGUCUGCAAGCUCCUUCAAGUUCAUCUUCCACAGAUUUCCAAGAGUUUGUAUAAAGAACAGUUUAUUCGUUAAGCUUUGAGCUCUCUCUUUGAAAUCCUGGACCUAAGAGUAGUAAGAAGACUGCGUGCAGUGUGUUGAAUAGUCUGUGGGACAUAGGAAGAUGACCUUGCAGUGCAGUGUCAUCUUUUGAUGAUGUGCAGUGAAGAGGUUUUAUUCAACUAAGUGCGUCUUUUGUUCAUAGUUCCAAACAUCCUGUGUGGAGGUAGCGUGGUCGAGCGGUCUAAGGCGUUGGAUUAAGGCUCUAGUCUCUCUGGGGACAUGGGUUUGAAUCCAACUAAUACUUUCUUUUGGGACAGGGCAGUUUUUGGUCCCUAAUAUCAUUCAGGAUUCUCCUCUCCCACCAUCUGCUUUUCCAGGCUACUGAUAACAGUUACACAUAUCAUACCCACUGCACACCCAAGUAAUUGCGUCAAUUAACAGUUAAUAAUCCCAUAAUGUGUCUGGUACUCACUCCUCUAACUCUGCAUGUCCACUCCAAGAAAUGCUCCAGCAACAUAUUCCACACCGACUAUAGGCUACAUCCUGUAGAUUCUGCAGUUCUUCCUUGUUACCUUAGUCUACGAAUGAAGGAUUACUGUGGAACAUCACUUUCCGAGUCGACAUGCAACUAGAGACAGAUCGGCCUAGGGCACUGUAGAAGUGGAUUCUUUCCUAUCCGGGAGACCGAAAACUAAGUCUUCAUCAUCACCACAGACUUCUUUCUCAUUUCAUUUUGAACCUGAAUCACGUUCAUCUGAGCUGUGUGUGUCUAAGAAAUGCCUUGCAAAAGGAAGCAAAAAUGAUCAAAAUAUAUUGUAUAAAUUUUUCAAUAAAAAUAAAUUAAUUAACAAUGC
ensembl:lncRNA